AUUCAUUUUCCAGCUACACUGAAGAUAGGAGCAUUCAGUUUCCAGCCAUGUUACAGAGAGUUCCUGGGUCGGCCCUUUUAGCCUGAGGUAGAGACACCCUUAUAUGCUAAGCCCAGUUGGCUCACUCGGGAUAAGUGUGGGAGACCCUGUGUAGAAGCAAGAGUCACACUACCCUGUAUCCUUUCUGAAAUUCCUGACGGCACUGGAUUUUCCAAAAAAGCAAAAAUUAAAAAAAAAAUCAAGAUGAGUAAAGAUGUGGUUUUCAGAUAAUGCCCAACAAAGCAGCGACCAAGGGCGAGGCGUCACCACUUGGGCUUAUAAAAGCUGCU
rnacentral:lncRNA from 1 species